CUGUGCUGUUGUUAUCGUAGAACGCAUCUAACACAUUUCACUAUUUGUGCUGUUGUGAUUGCAGAAGAUCCAUCGGGCCUUAAACAUGGCAUGUGAUGAGGACAGUAAAGCAGAGGCAGCUAUUACAGACAGAAGCCCCUCUUUAUGUCUGUCAGAAAACUGUAACCUGCACCGCGUUCGCACUGCUGUGCCCACCAUUUCCAUCUCCACCUCCAGCAACUACAGCUCUGCUCCCAGGUGGAACAACGAGAGCACCAAGGCCGAGCUUAAGGAUGCCAAUCACAAGCGUGUCCACUUUAACCUGGAGACCCUAAACAGCUACCGGCUGGACCAGGGCAGGAGGGGUUUGGUGGGCAGCCCCCCGACCCAGCUGUGUGCCAACGGUGGUCCGUCUCCUGGACUCAGCCUGGUUCUCUCCCCGCCGUCUGGAGCCUCUGCACGCCCCUCCUCUCCUUGGGAGCUAGAGCUCCAAGAGCUCCAGGUGAGGAUCGAGGAGUUUCGUGGCCAGCUCAGGGCUGCCCUGGCCAGGAGAGCAGAGCUCCAGAGGACUCUAGAGAAAGAGAGACAGAGCAGGACAGAGGGUCAGAACCGGGGGAUUUCAAACACCAUCCCUGCUGGACACUCUAACUCAUCCACUGCCUCCAAUGUGGCAGCCAAAGUCAUCAACAAGAGGAGAUGAUUAGAGUUUGUAUCUGCAUCAUUACAAGGCAGAGUAAUGGAGCGCAAGCGAAGUGCAAGGUCUGUUUAUGGAGGUUCAUCCAGUACUCAUGGUCAUUAGCAUUAACAUGGACAAAGGCAUAGAAAGACAGGGCUAUCCUGUGCAUAUCUGAAGUGGCUAACAACCUGGACAAAUUAAGGAGUAGCCAGCAGGCAAAGAGUAAGGCUAAACAAACCAGGCUUAAACAUGGGAUCAGGCCAGGGAUUGCAAAGGUGGUGGAAAGCCUUCUCAGAUGAAGCAAGGCUGUUACUGCAGUACAGUGGAGACCAAUACCCCGAUAAUACCCUUGAUUUUGGAAGAAAUCUGAGAUGAGCAGCUGUCUCAAUACAAAUAGUGUACUAGACAGUGAAACAGGUUGUAAGCAGGAGGUCCAUUUAUUGAGGUUCAUUCAGAUCAUGGUGUCUAUUCAUAGCUUGGAUCGAGGCACAAGCAGAUAGGGCUGACCUAGACAUCUUCAAAGUCGACAGAGAGCAAACAGGCGAGGUCAACAACCUGGAGAAACAACUCUGGGCUGCUCUGGCCAGGAGAGCAGAUCUGCAGAUAAAGCCAGGAGCCUCCAACGCAGCAGCCAAAAACAGUAUUGCACAUCUCUGUAGCAUACAAGGCAGUAAAUUGAGACACUGGCAAGCCAAGGUCCUAGAAAACAAAGGAAAGGCUUAAGCAAGUGACUAAAAUUCAACCAGCAACAAAGCCUGGAAAUUGGCAGGAUAGACACACAGUGAGCUCCAGGUGAUAGUAAAGGAGGUUCAUAGCUGCUUAAGGCUUCCUCAGCAUGGAGAGCAGAGCUCCAGAUGAGCCUAGAGAAAGAGAGACAGCCAUGAGUUUUCCAGUCCCCACUGGAUACUCCAGUGUAUAAUAUAUAACAUCAACCGUGGCAGCCAAAGAUGUCAACGGGAGGUCGUGAGAAUCUGUGUCUGUUACAUGCAAGCAAGGGUAGUAGGUGCAAGCGAAGUAGGUUCAAGGCACAGGCAGAGAGGACUAUCCUAGCCAUAUCCAAAGUUGUAAACAACAGAGGAAGACUAAGGCCCAAGAAACCAAACAAGGGAAUUAAAGCAAGGACAGUGCUAGAAAUUGCAAGACUAAUUCAAUAUGGAGCUCCAGGUGAUCUCCUACCAAGGCAACUAGAGCUCCAAAGUUUCCUGGAGAAAGAGAAACAGAGCUGGACAGAGAGCCAGAGAUGCUGGAUUUCCUAAAUGAUCCCUGUUUAAUGCUUGUUUUUUUUUGGUCCAUUAACUAGCUAUACCCAAGCAAGUCUAACUAAGCCCAAGGUCAUAGGAAACAAAGAACAAGGCUUAACCAUGAGACUAGGGUUAAACCAGCAACAAGGCUAGGAAUUAGCUAAACACACAAUGAGCUCUAAGUGAGAAUAGAGGAGGUUCAUAGCUACUCAGGGCAGCUCUGGCUUGGAAGGUGAAAAGAGAAAGAGAAAGUGAGGCAGAACUGUGGGCCUUCCAGUACAGUUGUGCUGGACACUCCAAUCCACCCUUCUUGGCAGGCAAAGGUAUCAACACCAGGAGGUGAGAAUAGUCCACUUCUGUAAAGUGCAAGGCUGGGUAAUAGGGUGCAAGCAAAGUUCUUUUUACUGGGGUUUUUCACACUCAGACAGGACUAUUCUAGCCAUACAGAAAGUCAUACAUUAAGACAUAGACAGGCUAAGGUCCUUGGAAACAAAGAACUGUGAAAGAUUUCAACAAAGGACAAGGUUUAAACACAGGAACAAUCCUUUGAAGUCUAAAUAAAUUAGGAGCUCUAGGUGAGUUCAAAGCUGCUCUGGCUGGAGAA
ensembl:lncRNA